rnacentral:rRNA from 1 species
CCCUUAGAUGUUCUGGGCCGCACGCGCGCUACAAUGAUGAAUUCAACGAGUUUAUAACCUUGGUUGAAAAGCCUGGGUAAUCUUUUGAACUUUCGUCGUGAUGGGGCUAGACCCUUGCAAUUAUUGGUCUCCAACGAGGAAUUCCUAGUAAACGCAAGUCAUCAGCUUGCAUUGAUUACGUCCCUGCCCUUUGUACACGCCGCCCGUCGCACCUACCGAUUGAAUGGUCCGGUGAAAUCUUCGGAUUGAGACUUUGAUUUGUUUACUCAAAACGCUGUUUCAAGAAGUUGAUUAAACCUUACCAUUUAGAGGAAGGAGAAGUCGUAACA